rnacentral:rRNA from 1 species
UUGAACGCUGGCGGCAGGCCUCACACAUGCAAGUCGAAUGGUAACAGGAAACAGCUUGCUGUUUCGCUGACGAGUGGCGGACGGGUGAGUAAUGUCUGGGAAACUGCCUGAUGGAGGGGGAUAACUACUGGAAACGGUAGCUAAUACCGCAUAACGUCGCAAGACCAAAGAGGGGGACCUUCGGGCCUCUUGCCAUCAGAUGUGCCCAGAUGGGAUUAGCUAGUAGGUGGGGUAACGGCUCACCUAGGCGACGAUCCCUAGCUGGUCUGAGAGGAUGACCAGCCACACUGGAACUGAGACACGGUCCAGACUCCUACGGGAGGCAGCAGUGGGGAAUAUUGCACAAUGGGCGCAAGCCUGAUGCAGCCAUGCCGCGUGUAUGAAGAAGGCCUUCGGGUUGUAAAGUACUUUCAGCGGGGAGGAAGGGAGUAAAGUUAAUACCUUUGCUCAUUGACGUUACCCGCAGAAGAAGCACCGGCUAACUCCGUG